AAAACUUUCAUACCCAGGGCCAGACAGAAGGGAUCAAAGAUUUUUAAAAACAGCUAGCCUAUACACUGCAUAAAGAAAAGAGAUAUCAGAUCAAAUUUAGAAGAAUCAAUGAUUAUGAAAACUGAGUGCCCAAUGCUGCUGGUGUCCAUGCUUUUGAAAAAUGAAGUCAUGACUCAGAAUCCAUAGUGAAAAACAAGUCAUGAAUGAAGAUUGAGAAGGAGUGUUUAUGUUUGUCUCCAUUAAAACUUCUGUGGUGAAUGGUUGGUGUCUGGCUCAUCCAAUGAUCAACCCAUUGGCAGACUACCAGAUUCCAACCUGAAGAAUACAUGGGAAGAGUAAAACCUUUUUCAUUUAUAUAAAUACUUACUAGCUAUUAAGUCUAGAAGAAUGUCCUGAAACCUGAAUGUUUAGUCCACCAUCAGAUGAAUUUCAAUCACAUUAUUCUGAAAAAUUGAGUAGAUAGUCUUCUACAUGCAUGCAUGCAUGUCUUAAAGUCACACUGUCUGGUCAUCAUAACUUUGCACUCCAAUUAAUUAUACCUUCAAAAAUGUUAUUUAGUAAUUAAUAAAGGCAUCAUCAAAUAUU